rnacentral:rRNA from 1 species
UGGGGAAUAUUGCGCAAUGGGGGCAACCCUGACGCAGCCAUGCCGCGUGAAUGAAGAAGGCCUUCGGGUUGUAAAGUUCUUUCGGUAGCGAGGAAGGCAUUUAGUUUAAUAGACUAGGUGAUUGACGUUAACUACAGAAGAAGCACCGGCUAACUCCGUGCCAGCAGCCGCGGUAAUACGGAGGGUGCGAGCGUUAAUCGGAAUAACUGGGCGUAAAGGGCACGCAGGCGGUGACUUAAGUGAGGUGUGAAAGCCCCGGGCUUAACCUGGGAAUUGCAUUUCAUACUGGGUCGCUAGAGUACUUUAGGGAGGGGUAGAAUUCCACGUGUAGCGGUGAAAUGCGUAGAGAUGUGGAGGAAUACCGAAGGCGAAGGCAGCCCCUUGGGAAAGUACUGACGCUCAUGUGCGAAAGCGUGGGGAGCAAACAGGAUUAGAUACCCUGGUAGUCCACGCUGUAAACGAUGUCGAUUUGGGGGUUGAGCUUUAAGCUUGGCGCCCGUAGCUAACGUGAUAAAUCGACCGCCUGGGGAGUACGGCCGCAAGGUUA